GUGAUCUAUGAAAGUCAUGUGCCUUCUCUGCGCGUCACCUGGAGCUGGCGGCCAGGGAGGCUGGGCUCAUGCAGCCUCAGCCGGGCUGCUCUGGACGGCCCCAGAGCCACAGGACUGGGGUCAUGGAUUCCCUGCGGGUUGAUAAAAUCAUUGAACUCUUUCUCAAAGCUGUGCAUUUUGAGACACACAUACUCUCCAGACGUUCAUGGACACCUCAUGGAAACCACCUGCUUAGGCUGUCUUCUGAUGGGCCUUCCAGGUGUCAAUUUCUCCAGUCCUAAAAGCUAUGAGAAUAGUCAGUGGGUCGAGCCCCACUUGCAUUGCGUUGAAGAAUUAACCCAUCCAUCCUCAAUUCAUUGGGCUCAACUCUGGCUAGAGAGGUGCUGAACUAACAUUUUAAAGUUGCCUGUGGGAGCCGCGUGAAAAUAAGCUUGAAGUAAAGGGGCCUUGGCUCUUUUGCCUUCGGCUGGAAAAUUUUGACUUUUGGCUGCAGUCAUGCCCAUUGGCCUCCGAGAAAAACAAGCCCUUCUGGGAAUCGCAAGACUCCUUUCAGCCAAUGGGGAUGAAGAGACCGCCUAGCAACUCGCUGGUCAUCCCCAUCCCACCCAAUCAGCAUGAAGGAAAGGCUGCUCUGCCACGCUAGACUAAACACAAGGAGACCGAUCCCCCGGGACAUCGCCGGGAGGAAAAAAAUACAGCCUUUGAUUAAGCCCCACAGAUCCACAGGUCCACGAACCUCUCUCCAUCAUCCAGAUGACUGGUACGGGAAAGCCGUACCUGUGCUCUUUCUCAGCGGAUUUACAGCCGACGGUGUGCAGCUGUGCACGGCUGAAUCACCGGUGGGAGGUGCCCUCGAGGCCUCUCCCAGGUGUGCUCAGCUGGGGAACAAAAGAUGAGACUCCAGGGCUGCCACCGCCUUGUACGAUGAAUGACGUGGAGGAGGCAGGCCCUCGUAGCUUGCCUGACCUUCUCGACUGUUCCCUGUGCCCAGCUGGUCCUCCUGCAACCCAUCCCAUCAUCAUCAUUCACACCUGCAGUCCGUUCACAUCACCCCUUUCUCCAGCAUCUGCAAUACCUCCUCUCCAUCUACCGAAACGUCCAAGUCCGCUACAGCACCUCAUCCCAGCCCACCUUCCCAGCUUCAUCUCCCAAAACAGCCCAAAGAGCCCUCCGCAUUCAACCCCUUCCGGUGUCUCUGUGAAGCCCUCCCUGAGCCGACUGCCCAGAAUGCACUGCUCUUUCCCCUCUGCUCAGGAUCCACUGCUUUUAUCUCUAAUGACUUGGUCCUACCUCUGCCUCCUACUCUGGAUGCAAAGGGCCGGGUCUGUUAAUGAAUGAAUGGAUGAGCAAAUAAAUUCAUUUAAA